ACAAAAUUUACACCAUUACGGCGAGCAACGGAAGAAACAUAGUCAAAGCAGUGGGACUUCCCAACACUUCGAUUUUGAGGGUGCAGACAACGAAGAAGCUGCUGGUGAGGAUCUCGACGAAGAAGGACUGCUGACCAAUAUCGAAAUUGUAGGGGUGUGGACCCGAUUUUAUAAUUAAAAAAUAUAUAAUUUUUCGAGGAACUAAGGCUUUCUAGUUCCGAAAUAGUCUGGCAGCCUUGUUACCUCAGAAAAUACUAAACGAUAUGUUCGUAAUUUCCAACACUACUUGUCAAAUUCCUUGGGGCCAGCCAUCGCCAUUUGCGCUUUUGUUCUUCUAAUUCUGAGCAUUCGUAAAAAGCACACGCGCUUUACCUUUUAUAAGUGUUCUUCACAAGCCAGAACUCUAUAACCGCCGAACUUUUGCGCCAGCUUCAACUGUUGUUAAAUCAACAAGGAAUUUGACGGGAGUGGCGAGAUUUAGUGUGGAUUCGUAGUCAAUGCGAUUUUGAUCGCGGCCCUAACAUCUAACGAGUCGUAUUACCACGAAAUAAGGAACGCCAAACUUGCGUGAAACGGUAUUGCCUGUAGCUUUUUUGGGGAUCUUGGCGGCCACCGCGUGGAGCCGGCGUGAGCUUCGAGUCAAACUGCGUAUCGAUCUCAACCCCAACACCUGCACCAGGGAUCACAGCAAGUUGGCCUUGCAGAAUCUUGGCUGACACUGCGUGGAGACGACGUUAACCUCGACUCAGGAAUCUUGGCUGCUACCGCGUGGAGCCGGCCUAAAUCUCGAGUCGAGCCGCGCGCCAUCUAUAACCUCCGAUACAUUUUCAUUAAUCCUGCCCAGCGAACACAGCUGUCGACUCCGCUCAAACCCAGUUUGGAAAAUUCUGAACCACCAUAUAUCGUCACGUUUCGCAAUCUGCAUGUCUCCGUAUAACCAAAGACGUUGUUUUCUAAUUUUUAUGUACUCUAAUCCUAAAAUAAUACUAAUCAAUAAGAAAUGUUUUAUCGAGAGAAGGGUAUUGUAUGUGUAUUUGGCCUUAGAUUGAUUCUAUUCUAACAAUGUUAUGAAAUCCUCACAACAAUUAACAGGAAGUCCACCGGCCUGUUGACUACGUUAGAAUUUCAGCUGUCAAAGAAGGUUGUAUUUAAUAAACGAGGAAUCAUUGCCACAAACACUGUUGGAUGUUGCGACUCGUUGGAAUACAACAUACAAUAUGAUGAGCAAGUUGCAAUAAAAAAUUUGGCAGCAAAUGAGUGGAGUGCUGUAAGAAGGCUCGUCGAUACCGUCUAACCAGCGUAUAUUGCCACUGAGAAGACACAAUUGUUUAUGGGUGACUUCUACAAGCUAAGGCUUGAGCUCAAGCCACCUGUUGCAGCAGCGGAUAGCACUGAAAGCCAGACAUUGAUCCAGUGCAUCCGUGAAAGGGAAGAGUGCUUUUUGGGGUGUAAGCCUAAAUUUGCAGCAUACACUUGGACACACGCAUCAGACGAGUUUUACUACAAAUCCAAUUAGCGUAAUGCUCUCCAGAGCUUAUUUUAAACCUAUUUCAAUUGAAAAAAACAGUAUUUAUGUAAUUUAUUAAUUUAAACUUAUAAUUUAUGAAGAUAUCAUUGCAGACUUCACAGCCUUCCUGCAGUACGUCAAACGCAUCAACGUUGUUUGAGGCUGAUAAUUUAUUAGUUUUGCAAAGCUCGAACACCUAUUCGUUAUUAAACGAGUUCUUGCAAGCGAAUGACGUAGCUUCAGAGGAUGAAACUGAUGGUGGACCAACGAAAAAAAUUAGGAAGCGGAACAACGAAACUUACGGCUAUAGCCUUAAGCCAAUAUGAUCAACCACCAAUAUAAUGGAGUACUGGGAUUAAAAGAAUUCUUAUACCCUAAUUUAUACCAGCUGAUCAAAGUGGUACAUUCAGUUCCUGCAACUCAAGUGAGCGUUGAAAAAUCAUUUUUGACACUCAAAAUGAUGCUCACAGACCAACGAUGCAACCUUGGUGAAGAAUCAUUGGCUAAUUUAUUUUUUGUAAAGCUAAUUAAUAAAUAAACUUAAAAAUAAA